AGUUCCAGGUUGACCUCUGCCUUGCUGCUAGAACCUGUUACUUGUAAAAUGAGAACACAAGCUAUCUUAUUUGUCUCUGUUAUUUUUGGCUUAUGGAUCUUCCUCUGCUUUUUUGUCUUAAGAUCUGUAAGUCAGCUACUGCCUGUACUUUUCCAAUUGAGGCUGAACCUCCAGCAAGAAGGGUGCCUGUAUUUGGAAAACUCAAUCCUGUGAAUUUUUCUCUGACGCCCCUUGGGAAAGUCCAUCUUUCCUCAUGGUAAGGAUGAUCUUCAAGGAAGACCUUCAGACUCUGGGCUUCAUCAGACAACGCAGACUAGAAACAAGUGUCAGGAGAACUGGAAGAGAGAAGGGAAGGCAGUCUUCUUAAUGGUGCCAAAAUUGCAAGGCUGCUCAGUAACGUGCAUUUAAUCCCUUGGGCUGACACUGAAGACAGAGGUGGUGAAGGGAUCCAAAAGGAUGAUUUUGUGCAUCCAUGUGUUCCAAGUUUCUUACCCUGUUUUCUCAGAGUGACAACAUGAAACAUUCUGCCUUGGCCUGCCAGAACAGGUCAGAACAUUGCCCCCUGUGUUUUAUGAAUUAUUUUUAAUGAAUGCCAC